AGAGUUUGAUCCUGGCUCAGAACGAACGCUGGCGGCAGGCUUAACACAUGCAAGUCGAGCGCAUCCUUCGGGGUGAGCGGCAGACGGGUGAGUAACGCGUGGGAAUCUACCCAUCUCUACGGAAUAACGCAUGGAAACGUGUGCUAAUACCGCAUACGACCUUCGGGUGAAAGUAGGGGAUCGCAAGACCUUACGCGAUUGGAUGAGCCGAUGUCGGAUUAGCUUGUUGGUGAGGUAAAGGCUCACCAAGGCGACGAUCCGUAGCUGGUCUGAGAGGAUGAUCAGCCACACUGGAACUGAGACACGGUCCAGACUCCUACGGGAGGCAGCAGUGGGGAAUAUUGGACAAUGGGCGCAAGCCUGAUCCAGCCAUACCGCGUGAGUGAAGAAGGCCUUCGGGUUGUAAAGCUCUUUUGUUGGGAAAGAAAUCCUGUCGGUUAAUACCCGGUAGGGAUGACGGUACCCAAAGAAUAAGCACCGGCUAACUACGUGCCAGCAGCCGCGGUAAUACGUAGGGUGCAAGCGUUAAUCGGAAUUACUGGGCGUAAAGCGUGCGCAGGCGGAUUGUUAAGCAAGAUGUGAAAUCCCCGGGCUUAACCUGGGAAUGGCAUUUUGAACUGGCAGUCUAGAGUGUGUCAGAGGGGGGUGGAAUUCCACGUGUAGCAGUGAAAUGCGUAGAUAUGUGGAGGAACACCAAUGGCGAAGGCAGCCCCCUGGGAUAACACUGACGCUCAUGUACGAAAGCGUGGGUAGCAAACAGGAUUAGAUACCCUGGUAGUCC
rnacentral:rRNA from 1 species